GAGUAGCGAGAAUUAUGUGGGAAUCAUAAUGGCCGAAAAUCUAAGGUUUCUUGGGGAAGGUUCGUCCGCCCAAGGUAAGUCGGGAGCUAAGCUCAGGCCGAGAGGCGUAGGCGAUGCACAUACGGUAGAAAUUCCGUAACCACCGAAACUUAAACAGAGGGACACUUCAGGAUAGCGGAACCCGGGCGUUGGUUGACCCGGGCGAAAGGGAGCGAAAAUAGAGUAGCGAAGUCCGCGAUGCCUGGAGGCGAGAAAAGCUCUGAGGUAUGCUAAGGUGCCCGUACCGCAAACCGACACAGGUAGAUGAGGAGAGAAUCCUAAGGCCAACGGGAGAAGGGUUGUUAAGGAACUCGGCAAAUUGACCCCGUAACUUCGGAAGAAGGGGAGCCCCCUACGGGGGGUCGCAGAGAAAUGGCCCAAGCAACUGUUUACCAAAAACACAGGUCUAUGCUAAGUCGAAAGAUGACGUAUAUGAGCUGACGCCUGCCCGGUGCCGGAAGGUUAAGAGGAGAUGUCAGGCAACGAAGCAUUGAAUUUAAGCCCCGGUAAACGGCGGCCGUAACGAUAACGGUCCUAAGGUAGCGAAAUUCCUUGUCAGGUAAGUUCUGACCCGCACGAAUGGCGUAAUGAUUUGGGCACUGUCUCAACAGCCCGCCCGGCGAAAUUGUAGUACUGGUGAAGAUGCCAGUUACCCGCAACUAGACGGAAAGACCCCAUGGAGCUUUACUGCAGCUUAAUACUGAAAUUCGGUAGUACAUGUACAGGAUAGGUGGGAGACUGAGAAAUACAGGCGUCAGCUUGUAUGGAGUCGCUGUUGGGAUACCACUCUUGUACUGCUGGGUUUCUAACCUGCGGCCGUGAAUCCGGUCGGGGGACACUGUUAGGCGGGCAGUUUGACUGGGGCGGUCGCCUCCCAAAAGGUAACGGAGGCGCUCAAAGGUUCGUUCAGCACGGACGGAAAUCGUGCAAUGAGUGUAAACGCAUAAACGAGCCUAACUGCGACACCGACGGGUGGAGCAGUAACGAAAGUUGGAGUUAGUGAUCCGGUGGUAUGUGAGUGGAAAUGCCAUCGCUCAACGGAUAAAAGCUACCCUGGGAUAACAGGCUGAUCUCCCCCAAGCGUCCACAGCGACGGGGAGGUUUGGCACCUCGAUGUCGGCUCGUCGCAUCCUGGGGCUGAAUUCGGUCCCAAGGGUUUGGCUGUUCGCCAAUUAAAGCGGCACGCGAGCUGGGUUCAGAACGUCGUGAGACAGUUCGGUCCCUAUCUGUUGCGGGCGUAAGAGGUUUGAAGGGAGCUGUCCUUAGUACGAGAGGACCGGGAUGGACGUACCUCUGGUGCACCAGUUGUCCUGCCAAGGGCAUAGCUGGGUAGCUAUGUACGGACGAGAUAAACGCUGAAAGCAUCUAAGCGUGAAACUCCCCCUAAGAUGAGAUCUCUCAUCCUUUAAGGAGCAAGGACCCAGAAAGACGAUCUGGUUGAUAGGCCGAAGGUGGAAGCGCAGUAAUGUGUGCAGCUGAUCGGUACUAAUAGUCCGAGGGCUUGACC
rnacentral:rRNA from 1 species